rnacentral:rRNA from 2 species
GGGAGUGGCAGACGGGUGAGUAACACGUGGGAACGUCCCCCUCGGUUCGGAAUAACUCAGGGAAACUUGAGCUAAUACCGGAUACGUCCGAGAGGAGAAAGAUUUAUCGCCGAGGGAUCGGCCGCGUCUGAUUAGCUAGUUGGUGAGGUAAUGGCUCACCAAGGCGACGAUCAGUAGCUGGUCUGAGAGGAUGAUCAGCCACACUGGGACUGAGACACGGCCCAGACUCCUACGGGAGGCAGCAGUGGGGAAUAUUGGACAAUGGGCGAAAGCCUGAUCCAGCCAUGCCGCGUGAGUGAUGAAGGCCUUAGGGUUGUAAAGCUCUUUUACCAGGGAAGAUAAUGACUGUACCUGGAGAAUAAGCCCCGGCUAACUUCGUGCCAGCAGCCGCGGUAAUACGAAGGGGGCUAGCGUUGUUCGGAAUCACUGGGCGUAAAGCGCACGUAGGCGGACUUUUAAGUCAGAGGUGAAAGCCCAGGGCUCAACCCUGGAAUUGCCUUUGAUA